UACGGAGGGUGCAAGCGUUAUCCGGAUUCACUGGGUUUAAAGGGUGCGUAGGCGGGCAGGUAAGUCAGUGGUGAAAUCCCCGAGCUUAACUUGGGAACUGCCGUUGAUACUAUCUGUCUUGAAUACUACGGAGGUAAGCGGAAUAUGUCAUGUAGCGGUGAAAUGCUUAGAUAUGACAUAGAACACCAAUUGCGAAGGCAGCUUGCUACACAGUUAUUGACGCUGAGGCACGAAAGCGUGGGGAUCAAACAGG
rnacentral:rRNA from 1 species